AACGAACGCUGGCGGCAGGCUUAACACAUGCAAGUCGAACGCACCUUUCGGGGUGAGUGGCAGACGGGUGAGUAACGCGUGGGAAUCUACCCUUCUCUACGGGAUAGCUCCGGGAAACUGGAAUUAAUACCGUAUACGUCCUGAGGGAGAAAGAUUUAUCGGGGAAGGAUGAGCCCGCGUUGGAUUAGCUAGUUGGUGGGGUAAAGGCCUACCAAGGCGACGAUCCAUAGCUGGUCUAAGAGGAUGAUCAGCCACAUUGGGACUGAGACACGGCCCAAACCCCUCGGGGAGGCAGCGGUGGGGAAUAUGGAAAAGUGGGGCGAACCCUGAUGCAGCCACGCCGGGUGGGUUAAGAAGGCCUUAGUGUUGUAAAGCUCUUUCAGAGGGGAAGAUAAUGACGGCACCAAAAGAGAAAGCCCCGGCUAACUUCGGG
rnacentral:rRNA from 1 species